rnacentral:rRNA from 1 species
GAUGAACGCUGGCGGCGUGCCUAAUACAUGCAAGUCGAGCGAACAGAUGAGGAGCUUGCUCCUCUGACGUUAGCGGCGGACGGGUGAGUAACACGUGGAUAACCUACCUAUAAGACUGGGAUAACUACGGGAAACCGGAGCUAAUACCGGAUAAUAUAUUGAACCGCAUGGUUCAAUAGUGAAAGACGGUUUUGCUGUCACUUAUAGAUGGAUCCGCGCCGCAUUUGCUAGUUGGUAAGGUAACGGCUUACCAAGGCAACGAUGCGUAGCCGACCUGAGAGGGUGAUCGGCCACACUGGAACUGAGACACGGUCCAGACUCCUACGGGAGGCAGCAGUAGGGAAUCUUCCGCAAUGGGCGAAAGCCUGACGGAGCAACGCCGCGUGAGUGAUGAAGGUCUUCGGAUCGUAAAACUCUGUUAUUAGGGAAGAACAAAUGUGUAAGUAACUAUGCACGUCUUGACGGUACCUAAUCAGAAAGCCACGGCUAACUACGUG